UGGUUGUGAUUUUGAUGUUUUAAGCAAAGACAGCUUGACUUUCAGCAACAGCCUUUGGGCCCUGAAUUGUGAAGCAGGCCUCUACGUCAGCAGCCUUGCAGCAAGUUUCCAGUAAAGC